rnacentral:rRNA from 1 species
ACGGGAGGCAGCAGUGGGGAAUAUUGCACAAUGGGGGAAACCCUGAUGCAGCGACGCCGCGUGAGUGAAGAAGUUAUUCGUAAUGUAAAGCUCUAUCAGCAGGGGAGGAAAUGACGGUACCUGACUAAGAAGCCCCGGCUAACUACGUGCCAGCAGCCGCGGUAAUACGUAGGGGGCAAGCGUUACCCGGAUUUACUGGGUGUAAAGGGAGCGUAGACGGUCUGGCAAGUCUGAUGUGAAAGGCAGGGGCUCAACUCCUGGACUGCAUUGGAAACUGUCAGUCUUGAGUGCCGGAGAGGUAAGCGGAAUUCCUAGUGUAGCGGUGAAAUGCGUAGAUAUUAGGAGGAACACCAGUGGCGAAGGCGGCUUACUGGACGGUAACUGACGUUGAGGCUCGAAAGCGUGGGGAGCAAACAGGAUUAGAUACCCUGGUA